GUGUACUUCACCUCUCUGAGGUCAAAAAGAGGUCUGACCUCUGCCUGGACAGACUGCGCCCCACUGUGGCAUGAUAUGGGAGAUAGCAAGGGAAAUGUCAGAGCCAAAUAGGCUCUCUUCUUUGGUAAAGAUUUCUCAGCUUCAAAUUUGACACUUUGAAGAGCUAAAUGUGUUGGAUGCUGGUGGUGGUGAGUUUGGUUUGACACACAAAAAAUAAAAAUGCUCUUCCAGUUUUCAAGGAGCUUAUGGCCUAGAAAGGGAAUACAUCUCAAGAUCUGAGCUAUGAUAACAGUUUCCAACUCUUGGUCUCCAGGAAGAGAGUAGGGCAGAUAAUUAGGCUUAAGACUUCAAGUGGAGGCACUUCAAGGAGGGAAGACAGACCAGGUAGCUACUCUGGGAAAGAGGUGGGUUGAGGGAGGGUAGUGCAUGGGGAGCUCCGGAAUCAAGGAAAGAAGUGGAAUAGGGUUUUUUUUGUUGUUUUUGGUUGUUGUAGUUUUCUUUGUUUUUGUUUUGUCUUAUAUGUUUUGUUUUUGUUUUUAAUUCCAGAGAUUGAAAAGGAAAGCAAUCAGACUUCUGAGGUAUGGAAACUGAUGUACAGAGAGGUUACACAGUUUGCCCAAGGACACACAGCUGGUAAGUUAUGAGGAUGGAACUCAAGCCUUUUCUAUGACAUCUUCCCCCUAGCGACUUCAGUUUUUAAAAUAAAUGGACUCUGGAGGUGCCUGAGUGGCUAACUGGUUAAGACUCUGGCUCUUGGUUUUGGCUCAGGUCAUGAUCUCAUGGGUCCUGGGAUCAAGCCCUACCUCUGGCACCAUGCUCAGUGGAGAGUCUGCUUGAGGUUCUUUGUCUCUGCCCUUCCUCCCAUUUGCGCCCCUUCUUUCUCUCUCAAAUAAAUGAAUAAAUAAAAUCUUUAAAAUAAAUCCGAUUCUGUUGUUUAGGUCUCUCUCAUUUAUUUGAAGGAAACAACAUUCU
rnacentral:lncRNA from 1 species